GACGAACGCUGGCGGCGUGCUUAACACAUGCAAGUCGAACGGUGAAGCGCUUGCCUUUUUGGUGGGUGUGGAUGAGUGGCGAACGGGUGAGUAACACGUGAGUAACCUGCCCUCUUCUUCUGGAUAACCCCAUGAAAGUGGGGCUAAUACGGGGUAUUCCGGGUCUGUCGCAUGGCGGGUUUGGGAAAGAUUGCGCCUUUGGGUGUUUUCGGUGGGGGAUGGGCUCGCGGCCUAUCAGCUUGUUGGUGGGGUGAUGGCCUACCAAGGCGGUGACGGGUAGCCGGCCUGAGAGGGUGGACGGCCACACUGGGACUGAGACACGGCCCAGACUCCUGCGGGAGGCAGCAGUGGGGAAUAUUGCACAAUGGGCGCAAGCCUGAUGCAGCGACGCCGCGUGAGGGAUGGAGGCCUUCGGGUUGUGAACCUCUUUCGCCAGUGAAGCAGGCCUGCUCCUGUGUGGGUGGGUUGACGGUAGCUGGAUAAGAAGCGCCGGCUAACUACGUG
rnacentral:rRNA from 1 species